UCGUGUGAAGUGUUCGGAGUUUUAAAAAAAAUAUAUAUUUUUUAUUUUAUAAUUCAUGCAUGAAAAAUUAACAGACGUGACCAUACCUGUGACCAUACAUUCUGCCUUCGCCAUAUCCACGCCUGUGACCAUACUUUUUUCGCUCGCCCAACAUCCACUUUGACACUGCUAGCAUCCAGACGCACUCCUUUAAACCCAGCUCGAUCGUGAAGUAUAUGACUGUCUGGCCAUUCGCAUCCUCCGCAUUGAGAUCUCGUUCGACAGACUUAUUGACAAGGAGGUUUUAUAGGACAGUAGCGUCGGUAGCGUUCUACCAAGGGUCCGCCUACCUUGCAUAAAAAUAUUUUAUUUUUUUUACUCUUUGCUGUCUCACGUGCACAGCACUUGUGUUCUAAAUUUUUUUAUUACUUCAUGAUUAGUGCGAAGAGGUCGGAGCUUCAAAUUUUUUUUCUUUUAUUUUAUGAUUCAUGCAUUAAAAAUCAAUGAAAUCGCACGAUGGAAAAUCAAUGCUCUAUCUUCGCCCCACGUCCACUCCAGCGCCACCAAUAUUCGGAUGCACUCCUUCGAAGCCGAUCUGAUCAUGAAGUGUAAGGCUGUCUAGCCAUUCAUGUCCUCCACAUCGGAGUCUCAUUCAAUGGACUCAUGGCAAGGAGGGUUCAUAGGGCGGUGGCAUUGGUCUUCUUGGUGGC
rnacentral:lncRNA from 1 species